AGUGAACGCUGGCGGUAGGCCUAACACAUGCAAGUCGAACGGCAGCACAGUAAGAGCUUGCUCUUGCGGGUGGCGAGUGGCGGACGGGUGAGGAAUACAUCGGAAUCUACUUUUUCGUGGGGGAUAACGUAGGGAAACUUACGCUAAUACCGCAUACGACCUACGGGUGAAAGCAGGGGAUCUUCGGACCUUGCGCGAUUGAAUGAGCCGAUGUCGGAUUAGCUAGUUGGCGGGGUAAAGGCCCACCAAGGCGACGAUUCGUAGCUGGUCUGAGAGGAUGAUCAGCCACAUUGGAACUGAGACACGGUCCAGACUCCUACGGGAGGCAGCAGUGGGGAAUAUUGGACAAUGGGCGCAAGCCUGAUCCAGCCAUACCGCGUGGGUGAAGAAGGCCUUCGGGUUGUAAAGCCCUUUUGUUGGGAAAGAAAAGCAGCAGGUUAAUACCCCGCUGUUCUGACGGUACCCAAAGAAUAAGCACCGGCUAACUUCGUG
rnacentral:rRNA from 1 species